GAUGAACGCUAGCUACAGGCUUAACACAUGCAAGUCGAGGGGAAACGACAUCGCAAGCUUGCUUUUGAUGGGCGUCGACCGGCGCACGGGUGAGUAACGCGUAUCCAACCUGCCCAUCACUUGGGAAUAACCUUGCGAAAGUAAGACUAAUACCCAAUGAUAUCCCACGAAGGCAUCGGAAUGGGAUUAAAGAUUUAUCGGUGAUGGAUGGGGAUGCGUCUGAUUAGCUUGUUGGCGGGGUAACGGCCCACCAAGGCAACGAUCAGUAGGGGUUCUGAGAGGAAGGUCCCCCACAUUGGAACUGAGACACGGUCCAAGCUCCUACGGGAGGCAGCAGUGAGGAAUAUUGGUCAAUGGGCGAGAGCCUGAACCAGCCAAGUAGCGUGCAGGAAGACGGCCCUAUGGGUUGUAAACUGCUUUUAUAAGGGAAUAAAGUGGGUCACGUGUGACUUUUUGCAUGUACCUUAUGAAUAAGGACCGGCUAAUUCCGUG
rnacentral:rRNA from 1 species